GGCUUAAACGUGGUGUAGUGGUUGGAGGCUAUGGACUAUGACUCUGGAGACCAGGGUUCAAAUCCCAGCUUAGCCA